UGGGGAAUAUUGCACAAUGGAGGGAACUCUGAUGCAGCGACGCCGCGCGAACGAAGAAGGCUUUCGAGUCGUAAAGUUCUUUUAUAUGGGAAGAUAAUGACGGUACCAUAAGAAAAAGCCCCGGCUAACUACGUGCCAGCAGCCGCGGUAAUACGUAGGGGGCUAGCGUUGUCCGGAAUCACUGGGCGUAAAGGGUUCGCAGGCGGAAAUGCAAGUCAGGUGUAAAAGGCAGUAGCUUAACUACUGUAAGCAUUUGAAACUGCAUAUCUUGAGAAGAGUAGAGGUAAGUGGAAUUUUUAGUGUAGCGGUGAAAUGCGUAGAUAUUAAAAAGAAUACCGGUGGCGAAGGCGACUUACUGGGCUCAUUCUGACGCUGAGGAACGAAAGCGUGGGUAGCAAACAGG
rnacentral:rRNA from 2 species